GCUUCGUGGUCGAAUGGUAAGAACACUUGUCUCUCAUUCUGGAGUCCCGGGUUCGAUUCCCGGUCGAGAAACU